AUUGAACGCUGGCGGCAUGCCUUACACAUGCAAGUCGAACGGCAGCACGGGAGCAAUCCUGGUGGCGAGUGGCGAACGGGUGAGUAAUAUAUCGGAACGUGCCCAGUCGUGGGGGAUAACGUAGCGAAAGCUACGCUAAUACCGCACACGAUCUAUGGAUGAAAGCGGGGGAUCGCAAGACCUCGCGCGAUUGGAGCGGCCGAUAUCAGAUUAGCUAGUUGGUGGGGUAAAGGCCCACCAAGGCGACGAUCUGUAGCUGGUCUGAGAGGACGACCAGCCACACUGGGACUGAGACACGGCCCAGACUCCUACGGGAGGCAGCAGUGGGGAAUUUUGGACAAUGGGCGCAAGCCUGAUCCAGCAAUGCCGCGUGCAGGACGAAGGCCUUCGGGUUGUAAACUGCUUUUGUACGGAACGAAACGGCCCCUUCUAAUACAGGGGGCUAAUGACGGUACCGUAAGAAUAAGCACCGGCUAACUACGUGCCAGCCGCCGCCGUAAAAC
rnacentral:rRNA from 1 species